UUGACAUACUAAGAACUUUCCAGAGAUGGAUUGGUGCCUUCGGGAACUUAGAUACAGGUGCUGCAUGGCUGUCGUCAGCUCGUGUCGUGAGAUGUUGGGUUAAGUCCCGNAACGAGCGCAACCCUUUUCCUUAUUUGCCAGCGGGUCAUGCCGGGAACUUUAAGGAUACUGCCAGUGACAAACUGGAGGAAGGCGGGGACGACGUCAAGUCAUCAUGGCCCUUACGGCCAGGGCUACACACGUGCUACAAUGGUCGGUACAAAGGGUUGCUACCUCGCGAGAGGAUGCUAAUCUCAAAAAGCCGAUCGUAGUCCGGAUCGCAGUCUGCAACUCGACUGCGUGAAGUCGGAAUCGCUAGUAAUCGCGGAUCAGAAUGCCGCGGUGAAUACGUUCCCGGGCCUUGUACACACCGCCCGUCACACCAUGGGAGUUUGUUGCACCAGAAGUAGGUAGUCUAACCGCAAGGAGGACGCUUACCACGGUGUGGCCGAUGACUGGGGUGAAGUCGUAACAAGGUAGGCGUAGAUGA
rnacentral:rRNA from 1 species